rnacentral:rRNA from 1 species
UACAGAGGCCCCAAGCGUUACUGAGAAUCACUGGGUUUAAAGGGUGCGUAGGUGGCGUGUUAAGUCCGUUGUGAAAUCCCUUGGCUCAACCAAGGAAUGGCUUCGGAUACUGGCGUGCUUGAGGCCGGUAAGGGUCACUGGAACUGACGGUGGAGCGGUGAAAUGCGUAGAUAUCGUCAGGAACGCCAAUGGUGAAGACAGGUGACUGGGCCGGUACUGACACUGAGGCACGAAAGCGUGGGGAGCGAACGGG